rnacentral:lncRNA from 1 species
AUGGGAAAGGGUGUGCUGGCCCCAUGCAACCUGGGUGGACCCCUCUGGGAGGGAGGCAGAGUCAGGGUGACCAGGACUCCUGGCUGGAUUCAUUGAUCAGGAAGCAGAGAUGGAGUUCAGAUGGUUCCAGAAGCCAAGGCCUGACUGUCUCCCUGGGCCUGUGACUCGAAAACAGCCCUGGCUGGCUGCCACCCUUUCGUACUGCCUGUUCUGUAAGGUCACACACAGGGUCAUGCCUGCCUUCUGACAUUCUGCUCACCCCAGAUCAGAGACAGUCAGCAUCACCGUGCCCAAGGCCAAAGCCCUCUUCUCCAGGAUGACUGUAUCAAGAAGCCCCAAGCAGUCGAUUCAUCUUCUAAGUGAUCUGAUCCCACAGACUGCUGCCCCCGCAGACCCACGAUGGCCUCCUCUACACAAAGCCUGUUCUUCAGAGGCCACAGAUUGGCCCUAUGUGAUGUGAGCACACGGCAAAUACUCAACUCACCCACCAAUAAGCUGUCUGCUGCCACUUAACUGUUCCAAGCACAGUCAUCAGGUAGUGGCUGCAAACUUGCUGGGGAAGAGCCAGGAUCAAGGACAAAGCUGAGAAUAAGGUCAACCUACUAGGAAGGCAAUUGAGAGAGAUAAGGAUAGGGUAAUAAAAUCUGCAAUUGCUAGGAAA